rnacentral:rRNA from 1 species
UACGUAGGGUGCGAGCGUUAAUCGGAAUUACUGGGCGUAAAGCGUGCGCAGGCGGUUCGCCAAGUCAGGUGUGAAAUCCCCGGGCUUAACCUGGGAAUUGCGCUUGAAACUACGGGACUCGAGUAUGGCAGAGGGAGGUGGAAUUCCAAGUGUAGCGGUGAAAUGCGUAGAGAAGUGGAGGAACACCGAUGGCGAAGGCAGCCUCCUGGGCCAAUACUG